CUGCAUCUGCCAACAAGACUGGAAGCAGAAAGGGACAGAGACGGCGAAGUUUGACGGUCUGGAAAGCAGAGACCAGCAGGGCUGACUGCUUGGGAGCACCAAUUAUCCGGACAGCGCCUCUCGGGAGGUCCGAGAAGAGAACCGCGAUCUGUUUCAGCACCGGGGCUCAGGACAGUUCCCAGCGGGCUCCGUUUCGGCUCCAGAACCCUGGACAGCUCCUCCAGCUUGGAAUGCACUCCCUCCACCUCCACCCAGAGCUCCCCACAACUGACCCUGCCUUCUCCUGCAAGCUCCAUUUCAUCAAGGGAAAGGAUCCUUAUUGCCUCACCAUUUCCCACGUGAAGUCUGUAUUGACAUUCUCACAGACCUGGGAUAUUGUGUCUGCAGCACAUACUCCAAUUAUUUUCAUGUUAUCUACUGACAGGUCUAUUUGUCUCCCUGUUACACUGUGAGCUCCGUGAGGGCAGAAACAAUGUUAGUAUUUUCACUGCUGUGUCCCCAGUGCCUGGUCCGGGGCCCGGCACACAGCAGGCAUAUAAUAAGCAUGUGUUGAAUCAAUA
rnacentral:lncRNA from 1 species